rnacentral:rRNA from 1 species
UACACACCUCAGAGCCAACUUCAAUAAAGAAUUUUAUUCUAAAUUUACUACUAAAUCCACCUUAAUAAUAUGUAUUACAUAUACUAAUCCGUAUAAUUAUAAUUUAUUGUAACCCACUUCUCCCAUAUUUAUAAGCUGCACCUUGACCUGAAGUCAUAAAUUUAAAAUUAACUAGAUUAUAUUUUCUAAAAAUAAUCUGACAACGGCGGUAUACAAACUGAAUACAAAAAUAUGUACAUUUAAACGUGGAAUAUCGAUCCAAGAGCAGGUUCCUCUAGUAAGAAUGAAGUACCGCCAAAUUCUUUAGGUUUAAAGAUCUCUACUACCCUGGCAACAAAUUUAAUAGGGA